rnacentral:rRNA from 1 species
UGAGCAAUCUGCCCUUCUCAUCGGAAUAAGCGUUGGAAACGACGUCUAAUGCCGAAUACGACCUCCUUUCGCAUGAUCGGAGGUGGAAAGCUCCGGCGGAGAAGGAUGAGCUCGCGGCCUAUCAGCUUGUUGGUGAGGUAAUAGCUCACCAAGGCGAUGACGGGUAGCCGGCUGAGAGGGUGACCGGCCANACUGGGACUGAGACACGGCCCAGACUCUACGGGA